rnacentral:rRNA from 1 species
AUUGAACGCUGGCGGCAGGCUUAACACAUGCAAGUCGAGCGAGCGGCGGACGGGUGAGUAAUGUCUGGGAAACUGCCUGAUGGAGGGGGAUAACUACUGGAAACGGUAGCUAAUACCGCAUACCAUCAGAUGUGCCCAGAUGGGAUUAGCUAGGAGGUGGGGUAAUGGCUCACCUAGGCGACGAUCCCUAGCUGGUCUGAGAGGAUGACCGGCCACACUGGAACUGUGACACGGUCCAGACUCCUACGGGAGGCAGCAGUGAGGAAUAUUACACAAUAGACGCAAGCCUAAUGCAGCCAUGCGGCGUAUGUGAAGAAAACCUUCGGGUUGUAAAGCACUGUCAGCGGAGAGGCAUUACUCGCAAAAGAGGCACCGGCUAACUCCGUGCCAACAGCCGCGGUAAUAC